rnacentral:lncRNA from 10 species
GAGAACAUCUUCACCUGCCUGGGCCUCCUGCAGGGCCUGCUGCCUGGGCCAUCAGAGGGCCUCUCCAUGUGGACAUCAUUUCCAAUCUCUCCCCACUGCUACUACCUCCCUGCAGCCUCCUCCCCAUAGCUGACCUGGCUUCAGUGUUCCUUCACCCCAGGCUCUGGCAUCCCUCUGUGGAAAUAAUCAAGUGUUAAUCCUUAUCAGUGUCAUCUGGGGAUAUGCAGAAUUUGCAUCCUGGUCCCUUCCUCUCUGCCAAGUUAUUGUUACUCAGCAAAAGGCAUUUGUGGGGUUGAUGGAAUUGGAAUGCUGCCCAGACCUUGAAGCAACAAUAUUAAUUGCGAUACUGGAUAUGUAAGUCAAACUGACUCCUUGCAAAGUCAGAAGAAAUGGUAAAAUGCUUCAUACACCCUUUCAUUAUUAUUGUUAUUUCUGGCAAGUAAAGAACUGCCAAGGAGAUGCAGGUGGCAGAACCUUUGAUUUAUGCAACGUGCAAAGUAAUUGUGGAGACUGAUUAUUAACAUGAGUUUCUCAGAUCAAUGAAAUGGCUGUGAAGUUUCUGGCUUGGAAUAGAUCUUGGUACGUAGCUAGAGUCUGAUGAAAUAACAAAUUAAAUAAUAAGGACAGCUAUGUGGGCUUAACUGAGGUGCUGAAUCCAAUGUGGAAACAGAGUAGCUUAUCAGUAGCUCGGCUCACUGACCCACGAGAACAAUCAGCACCAGUCUGAGGUGUGUUACAGGGAGAGUCAGGUGCUGGUGUCAGGCCAGAGCUGCUCUGUAGACUGAGAAUUGCAUUUGUGAUAGCAAAUUGAGAUACCUCUAUGUCAUAUAAAAGUAUACAUGCUUAUUGUAAAACAUGAUACAAUAUAUAAAGUAAAAGCAGAAGUUCCUUAUGGCCCACUCCCCGAACUCCUGAGGUGACCACUGUAAAUUGCCUGGUAGCUAGGUUUCAGAAUUGUUUUCUACACUACACACAUGUAUAUGCCUAUUUUACAAAAAUGGAAUCAUCUUGUUUUAUUACUGGCCUUUAUUUUUAAAAUAUUUCAUACAGACAUUUUUGCAUAUCAUUACAUAUAUCUACUUCAUCCAUUUAAAUGAUUUAGCCAUUAGUAUUCCAUUGUUUGCACAGUAGCUUAGGCUACUAAUCCUCUAGUUAGACUUUCAGGUGAUUUCCAGUUUUGUCUCAUUUUAUUUUUGCCAUCUGAAGCAACCAAUAUAAAUCCCUCUCCUUUGUAUACUUACUUGUUUGUUUCUUAGAAUAAAUUCCUAAAAUAGAAUUUCUGAGUGAAAUGGCUUGUACUUUUAAAACAUGUUACCAAAUUUAUCUCUAGCAAGAAAGUGUGACUUUAUUGUUUCACCAACAGUGCCCAUUUCCUUACACCUCUUGCCAAUACUAUUAUCAAUCUUUUUAAAAUGUACCAAACUGAGAAUUUUAAAAAACCCUUGUUGAUGUUUUAUUUUGCAUUUUAGUUACAUUAAAUAUCUUGGGAUUUACAUUUUAAUAGAUUGUUUCUAUAACAUAACAAUUACAAUGCUUGUAAUAAUUUGCAAUAAUCAGAAAUAAAAAUUUCUUUCUUUCUUUUUUUUCUUUUUUGAGAUGGAGUUUUGAUCUUUUUGCCCAGGCUGGCGUGCAAUGGUGCAGUCUUGGCUCACUGCAAUGUCUGCCUGCCGGGUUCAGGUGAUUUUCCUGCCUCACCCUCCCGAUUAUCUGGGAUUACAGGUGCCCGCCACCACGCCUGGCUAGGUUUUUUUUUGUUGUUUUUUUUUUUUUGUAUUUUUAGUAGAGAUGGGUUUCACCAUGUUGAUCAGGCUGGUCUCGAACUCCUGACCUCAGGUAAUCCACCUGCCUCCGCCUCCCAAAAUGCUGGGAUUACAGGUGUGAGCCACUGCGGUUGGCCAGAAAUAAGCAUUUCUUGAUGUAACUGAGAAGUUAAAAGUACUCCAAUCACAAAAUAUCUAUAAAUUCAUAACAAAACUAGGUGAAAAUCAACCUGUUACCACAUCUGCAGAUUCCAUUAGAAUUAAGUUCAGUAUGUCUUUUCAUCACGUGAAACAGACAUAAUAAGUCACAUAGAAGAAAUUACAAAUUAAGAUAUUCCUUAAGGGCUCUAGCUUUAGAACUUUGUGAAUAAAAUUUAGAUCAACAUUUUCUUUUUUUAAGGUCAUGAUUUGGGCCCAGAGGAAAAACCAUAGGAAAACAAAUAGAAAACUUUUGACCGACACAUUAUUAUUAUUAUUAUUAUUAUUAUUAUUAUUAUUAUUAUUAUUUGAGAUGGAGUCUGGCUCUUGUCGCCCAGGCUGGAGUGCAAUGGCAUGAUUUCGGCUCACUGCAACCUUUGCCUCCUGGGUUUAAGUGAUUCUCGUGCCUCAGCCUCCCAAGUAGCUGGGAUUAUUAGACACCCACCACCAUGUCUGGCUAAUUUUUGUCUUUUCAGUAGAGAUGGGUUUCACCAUGUUGGCCAGGGGCUGGUCUCGAACUCCUGACCUCAUCUGCCCACCUCGGCCUCCCGAAGUGCUGGGAUUACAGGCAUGAGCCACCGUGCCUGGCCCAGACACAUUAUUGUUUGGCCAUAUAUGUAUUAUAUUUUGUAGUUAGUGCAUCACAGACCAUCUAACAUGAUAGACAUUUGGCAGGAUACUCUGGCACACUAGUAAAAUCCCAUUAAAUUCCUCUUUGUCUCCCCCACAUGCAUGUGUGACAACAUUCAGAAGAGGGCACAAAAUAUAUAAAAUAGUGAACACUGCUUGCCAAAUGAUGCAUAAUUGCUUUCAGUCCCGUACAUUUCCAUUGAGAUCCAACCAUAUAUGGCGAGGAAGAAACCAGCACAAUUUUCAAAAGUGCUUGCGCAUGGUAGCUAAACUCCUCAGCAUGGCACCCACACCAGCCAUCAAGGAGUGAGAGUCACUUCUAUGCCCCAUAAAUCAGAAGACUUUACUGGUUUCUAAUUUGUGGGGUAGACAUUUAGACUCAUCAUAUUUGCAUUUUACUGCUUCAUAAUCUGGUAUAUGAAAUAGAUUGCUAGGUGGCUAAGUUUGCUUUUCAGGGAGAAUUUAAAAUGCAACACAAUAUGCAUCAUUAUCCAUGCUCAGGAGGCCAUGGCACUUAAAAUAUGGCACAGUUAUAUGUGAAACAUUCUACAGAAGUCCACACUCAGAGAUUUGAGCAUGUCACCUACUCCAUCAUCCUGAUGUUUUGUGUUGUUGCCAUAAAAUUGUGCAAGGUGCCAAUGAGCCUUAUAGUUCUGUUAUACCACAAAUCAGACUGUAUGUGCAGACUAUGCAUACAGAUAAUGUGGAAAAAAAGAAAACCCUUGUGUUUUCUUUGGAGCAAGACAUAAAAAGCAGAAAGAAUUUGAAAUUCUCUUGAAAGCUGUAAAAGUAGGCUUGACAGUCACUGGGCUCAUCCAGUUUGAAGGCAGAGCACAGGACUGAAUGACCUCACUCAUCAUUCUGUAGCUCUGGGAAACAGAGUCUGUCAACUGAAACUCUUAGUAAAAAAGUAUACCCUUCAAUAAAAGUCCAUAGGAUGGAUUGAAAAAUACCCCUGGCUUUCAUAUAAGUUGAAAACAUAAGCCAGGUGCAAUGGCUCACACCAACACUUUGGGAGGCCAAGGCAAAAGGAUCAUUUGAGGCCAGGAAUUUGAGACCAGCCUGGGCAACAUAGUGAGAUCCUGAAUCUAUUAAAAAAAAAAAAAAAAAAACAAACAAACAAACAAACAAAAAAAACAACAUUAAAAAAUUAGCUGGGCAUGAUAUUGCACCUGUAGUCCCAGUUACUCGAGAGGCUGAGGUGGAAGGAGUGCUUGAAUUUGGGAGGUCAAGGUUGCAGUGAGCUGCAGUCAUGCCACUGCACUCCAGCCUGGGUGACAGAGCAAGGCCUUGUCUUAAAAAAAAAAAAAGAAAAAAGAAAAGGAAAAAAAAAAGACCGGGAACGGUGGCUUAUGCUCGUAAUCCCAGCACUUUGGGAGGCCAAGGCGGGUGGAUCACGAGGUCAGGAGAUCGAGACCAUCCUGGCUAACAUGGUGAAACCCCGUCUCUACUAAACAUACAAAAAAAUUAGCCGGGCAUGGUGGUGGGCGCCUGUGAUCAGCUACUUGGGAGGCUGAGGCAGAAGAAUGGUGUAAACCCAGGAGGUGGAGCUUGCAGUGAGCCGAGAUCGGGCUACUGCACUCCAGCCUGGGCGACACUGCAAGACUCUGUCUCAAAAAAA